rnacentral:sRNA from 1 species
AGCAGCCGCGGUAAUUCCAGCUCCAAUAGCGUAUAUUAAAGUUGUUGCAAGUUAAAAAGCUCGUAGUUGAAUUUCGGGGUUAGUAGGUUGGUCAUGCCUCUGGUAUGUACUGGUCUCACUGAUUCCUCCUUCCUGAUGAACCGUAAUGCCAUUAAUUUGGUGUUGCGGGGAAUUUGGACUGUUACUUUAGAAAAAUUAGAGUGUUUAAAGCAAGCUAACGCUUGAAUACAUUAGCAUGGAAUAAUGAAAUAGGACGUUCGAUCCUAUUUUGUUGGUUUCUAGGAUUGACGUAAUGAUUAAUAGGGAUAGUUGGGGGCAUUAGUAUUCAAUUGUCAGAGGUGAAAUUCUUGGAUUUUAUUGAAGACUAACUACUGCGAAAGCAUUUGCCAAGGAUGUUUUCAUUAAUCAAGAACGAAAGUUAGGGGAUCGAAGACGAUCAGAUACCGUCGUAGUCUUAACCAUAAACUAUGCCGACUAGGGAUCGAAUGAU